rnacentral:lncRNA from 1 species
GCAGGCGGCGUAGUAUGGAAUGGAGUUCCUUAGUUGUGAAAAUCCCGGGUGUUGGGCAAGCUUUGGAGACGUCGCGUGACCCGGAGGAAGAACCCUACCGUGACCGAAAGAACCCGUCUUACGGUGGUGUCUCACGUAACACAGACAGGCCGGAAUGUUGCCGUGGAUGACCUAGAAGUCCUGAAACUCCUGACUGCACAUUGGAGUGCCAACGUGAAGCAGGCUAAUGCAUCCCGCUGCAUCCAACAUCUUUAACAGCAUUGCAGCUGGGAGUGCUGACAAGCAGAAGCAAAUCUGACGCCAGCGUGGCCUCUAUGGCCAGUUCCAGGUGAGCCAGAGGUACACAGCGAGCCCUAGCUCAAAAAGGAACAAAAGCAAACGACUAGUGUAGUACUUACCCCACAUGCAGCUGUUGGGAGAAUAUUCAGCACCAGGACUUCAGAAAUGCAGAUGCGCAAUUCCUAUCCUCAAGAAGCUCAGGGGGCACUAGGCGUCCUUUAUGCCGGUAUUCCCAAUCUGGACCCUUUGCCAAAGGAUUAUAUGAAGCCAGCCUGGGCUAUAUAAUGAGUCCCUGGCCAGCCUGGGCUGCACAGACCCUGACUCAAAAAACAAAACAAAACAAAACCAAAAGCAAGCAAGCAAGCAAACAAACAAACAAACAAAAAACCGACCAACCAAAACAAAACAACACUUAGGCUGGUCAAAGCAACAAAUGAAUAACAAAAUUCCACUGUGCUGUCCCAAGAGCAAAGGCAGUAGCACCCAGGACCCUGUGAUGAUACAGGAGGGGUGCUGCCUGGGGGGAAGCUACAUGGACAUGUCUGGGAAUUUUUCAUGGCAUUUCUUAACUUUUUAAAAAAGACAAUGUCUCACUCUAUAGCCCAGCUGGUAAUACAUGAGUCAGAUCUCCCUUCAGGUAGUGAGAUUGGCUAGCUUUUUUGACAGCUUCCUCAAAGCUUUUUUGCAAGGAGCAACUGGCUAGCCUACUCCCAUCUUGGGAGACUAUGGGUCUUAGUUUGGGCUGCU